AAUGAUGCCAAAAUGCUAAAUAUUUAUGCAAUGCAAAACCGCUCAUUUAAUAUGUACUGACUUUUUUGUUGAAUAUGAAAACAUUAAGCCAUUUGUUUGCUCUCCUAUAUAGCCUAUAGGUCACCAUUGAUCCAUUGAUGACUCAUCGGGUCAGACCCAGAGGGCCAGAGGAGAGCACCAUCCCGCGCUCGCCCUGUGUGGAGUCUCCAGUGUCUGAGCGCGAGCAGUGGCAGCCUCUGCUUUCCGGAAGGGCUGAAGAUGAAUCACAGGUGUGAGUCAUUAGCUGGGCCGCGUGGAGCCGCAGCAGCGCAGAGCCAGGACCAGAGGGAGGCCUCGCUGUGCGGAGCCCCAGCUGAGGCCUGCCAGGGAGCCCUCGGCUAACGCAGAAUUUAUUAAUUAUACAAAACCGGGCCCAGAUGAUCCUCACCCCUGUGCUAAAGUAACCCCAGUCAUCACCAGAGUCAAGGCCAGACACAGUUUCCUAUGAGGUGCUGUAUGACUGUAAUUAUUUUAGAUUUCAGAUAUAAUUUUUAAUAGUAUUUUCCCUAUUUGGACUUCCAGUCAGACCAGGCCAACUGAAACUGUAAAUUGGGGAGUAACACAUGUAUCCUCAGUGAUACGUGCUGUCAGCUAUCCUGUGUCUCAGGAGCAGAGAGUGAGGCCAACUGGUGUCAUCAGUGCACUUCAUUAAGAUUUCUUCCCCCACCUUUCUCUCAUAAUUUAGUCAAUUGUGUUCUCUAGCUGAACUAAUUUUGGGAGAGUGCAAGCAAGCACAUGCUCUUCUCCAAAAACGCGUGAUAUCAAGCUCUUGCUUCUUUUAUACACCUCAGUCCCCAAGUUGAGUUUGAACAGAUGUGAGUCAGAGGGCGUCACUCCAUGUGCAGCUGGACGAAGCAGGCUGCUGGUGACAGACUGACCAGCAGGGGUCACUGGCACCACAUGUGAGGCCCUGACUGCGUGCGCCACACCUGAAGGUCCGCAACGCUGAUUAAUGGGAGAGCAAAGCCAUUCUUCAGCUACGGUGUCUCCAACAGAAUGCCACCGGAUGAUAAAUACGAAAGCUGAGCAUACCCCAUUAUUAGUUACAUUCAUAUGAUGCCGUCUAUAGACAAUCUUUCAUAUCGUAUGCCUUGGGAGGUCCUGGACUGUAGCAGGGGUUGUAAUGGAGAUACUAAUCGACUCGCUGAAGUGGUGGGUGCAUCGAAUGGAAGGGGAGAAGAAAACUGUUUGGCCGUGUGAGCCAUCAGUCACUGCUCUGAACUCAGGAGUGAGGGGUGGGGGUGGGUGGGGGCAGACUGCUCAUGGCACGGAGGCAACAUUCACAUGUUCAUUAAAUGGCAGGACCAAUGCAGACAGAGGAAUAAAAACAUAAAUACAGCACUACAGUGCUGCAACUAAAACUCUCGCUGGGCCAUGGCAAAAAGUAAACUCAGCAGAACAUGUGACGGAAUCUCACAGACGCUGAUCUGACAAAUGAACACUUCCAUAAAAAAAUAAAUAA